UGAUAAGUGCCAGAGUGGUGUAGUGGUUUCAGACUAUGACUCUGGAGACCAGGAUUCAAAUCCCUACUUGGCCA